GAUGAACGCUGGCGGCGUGCCUAAUACAUGCGAGUCGAGCGAACAGACGAGGAGCUUGCUCCUCUGCCGUUAGCGGCGGACGGGUGAGUAACACGUGGAUAACCUACCUAUAAGACUGGGAUAACUUCGGGAAACCGGAGCUAAUACCGGAUAAUAUAUUGAACCGCAUGGUUCAAUAGUGAAAGACGGUUUUGCUGUCACUUAUAGAUGGAUCCGCGCCGCAUUAGCUAGUUGGUAAGGUAACGGCUUACCAAGGCAACGAUGCGUAGCCGACCUGAGAGGGUGAUCGGCCACACUGGAACUGAGACACGGUCCAGACUCCUACGGGAGGCAGCAGUAGGGAAUCUUCCGCAAUGGGCGAAAGCCUGACGGAGCAACGCCGCAUGAGUGAUGAAGGUCUUCGGAUCGUAAAACUCUGUUAUUAGGGAAGAACAAAUGUGUAAGUAACUAUGCACGUCUUGACGGUACCUAAUCAGAAAGCCACGGCUAACUACGUG
rnacentral:rRNA from 1 species